rnacentral:lncRNA from 1 species
GUUCCACGUUAAACAAAUUCGAUCAGAUAAUUUCAUUUUAUUGGACUAGAAAAUGACUUUUUUAAAAUACGGAAGGGUAUCUUUGUUAAAAAAAAAUUCACUUUUUGUAUUGGGGAGUAUUUGCUAGGAAACAUAGUUUUUGAAAAAAAGUUGUUAGAAAAGCUUAGGUAGGGGGUAUGCUGAAUGAAUAGUUAUAUUUUGGGGGAG